rnacentral:rRNA from 1 species
UACGUAGGCAGCGAGCGUUGUUCGGAAUUACUGGGCGUAAAGAGUGUGUAGGCGGUGCUCUAAGUUCGGUGUGAAAUCUCCUGGCUUAACUGGGAGGGUGCGCCGGAAACUGGAGUGCUUGAGUGUGGGAGAGGAAAGCGGAAUUCCUGGUGUAGCGGUGAAAUGCGUAGAUAUCAGGAGGAACACCGGCGGUGUAGACGGCUUUCUGGACAGUAGCUGAGGCUGAGACACGAAAGCGUGGGUAGCAAACAGG